GGGUACUGCUAUCGGUGUUCGCCUAAGCCAUGCGAGUCAUAUGUUCGUAAGAACAUGGCGUACUGCUCAGUAACACGUGGAUAACCUGCCCUUGGGUCCGGCAUAACCCCGGGAAACUGGGGAUAAUUCCGGAUAACGCACAUAUGCUGGAAUGCUUUAUGCGUAAAAUGGAUUCGUCUGCCCAAGGAUGGGUCUGCGGCCUAUCAGGUAGUAGUGGGUGUAAUGUACCUACUAGCCUACGACGGGUACGGGUUGUGAGAGCAAGAGCCCGGAGAUGGAUUCUGAGACAUGAAUCCAGGCCCUACGGGGCGCAGCAGGCGCGAAAACUUUACAAUGCGGGAAACCGUGAUAAGGGGACACCGAGUGCCAGCAUCCUAUGCUGGCUGUCCGGGUGUGUAAAAUACACCCGUUAGCAAGGGCCGGGCAAGACCGGUGCCAGCCGCCGCGGUAACACCGGCGGCCCGAGUGGUGAUCGUGAUUAUUGGGUCUAAAGGGUCCGUAGCCGGUUUGGUCAGUCCUCCGGGAAAUCUGACAGCUUAACUGUUAGGCUUUCGGAGGAUACUGCCAGACUUGGAACCGGGAGAGGUAAGAGGUACUACAGGGGUAGGAGUGAAAUCUUGUAAUCCCUGUGGGACCACCUGUGGCGAAGGCGUCUUACCAGAACGGGUUCGACGGUGAGGGACGAAAGCUGGGGGCACGAACCGGAUUAGAUACCCGGGUAGUCCCAGCCGUAAACGAUGCUCGCUAGGUGUCAGGCAUGGCGCGACCGUGUCUGGUGCCGCAGGGAAGCCGUGAAGCGAGCCACCUGGGAAGUACGGCCGCAAGGCUGAAACUUAA
rnacentral:rRNA from 1 species